CAGUCGAGCGAACACUUUGGAAAGAUUCUUCGGAUGAUUUCCUUUGUGACUGAGCGGCGGACGGGUGAGUAACGCGUGGGUAACCUGCCUCAUACAGGGGGAUAACAGUUAGAAAUGACUGCUAAUACCGCAUAAGACCACGGUACCGCAUGGUACAGUGGUAAAAACUCCGGUGGUAUGAGAUGGACCCGCGUCUGAUUAGGUAGUUGGUGGGGUAACGGCCUACCAAGCCGACGAUCAGUAGCCGACCUGAGAGGGUGACCGGCCACAUUGGGACUGAGACACGGCCCAGACUCCUACGGGAGGCAGCAGUGGGGAAUAUUGCACAAUGGAGGAAACUCUGAUGCAGCGACGCCGCGUGAAGGAUGAAGUAUUUCGGUAUGUAAACUUCUAUCAGCAGGGAAGAAGAUGACGGUACCUGACUAAGAAGCCCCGGCUAACUACGUGCCAGCAGCCGCGGUAAUACGUAGGGGGCAAGCGUUAUCCGGAUUUACUGGGUGUAAAGGGAGCGUAGACGGCACGGCAAGCCAGAUGUGAAAGCCCGGGGCUCAACCCCGGGACUGCAUUUGGAACUGCUGAGCUAGAGUGUCGGAGAGGCAAGUGGAAUUCCUAGUGUAGCGGUGAAAUGCGUAGAUAUUAGGAGGAACACCAGUGGCGAAGGCGGCUUACUGGACGGUAACUGACGUUGAGGCUCGAAAGCGUGNGGAGCAAACAGGAUUAGAUACCCUNGUAGUCCACGCG
rnacentral:rRNA from 1 species